rnacentral:rRNA from 1 species
CAGUAGCCGCGGGAAUACGGAGGGUGCAAGCGUUAAUCGGAAUUACUGGGCGUAAAGCGCACGCAGGCGGUCUGACAAGUCAGAUGUGAAAUCCCCGGGCUUAACCUGGGAACUGCAUUUGAAACUGUCAGGCUGGAGUCUUGUAGAGGGGGGUGGAAUUCCAGGUGUAGCGGUGAAAUGCGUAGAGAUCUGGAGGAAUACCGGUGGCGAAGGCGGCCCCCUGGACAAAGACUGACGCUCAGGUGCGAAAGCGUGGGGAGCAAACAGGAUUAGAGACCCCGGUAGUCCCUGUCUCUUAUAA